rnacentral:rRNA from 1 species
ACCCGUUGAUCCUGCGGGAGGUUGCUGCUAUUGGAGUUCGACUAAACCAUGCAAGUCAUCUCGUAAGAGAGGCAGAAUGCUCAGUAACACGUCAAUAAUCUAACCUUAAGUCAGGGAUAACCUUGGAAAACUGAGGAUAACACCUGAUAUGUGAUCAAUACUGGAAUGUAUGAUCACUUAAAGGCAACGCUUAAGGAUGAGUUGGCGGCCGAUUAGGCUGUUGGUGGGGUAAAGGCCCACCAAACCUCCGAUCGGUAGGGGCCUUGAGAGAGGGAGCCCCGAGAAGGGCACUGAGGUACUGGCCCUAGCCCCACGGGGUGCGGCAGGUGCGAAACCUUUACAAUGCACGAAAGUGUGAUAAGGGAACUCCAGGUGCUCAUACAUUGUAUGGGCUUUUGCCAAGAGUAGAUAUCUUGGAGAAUAAGUGAUGGGUAAGACUGGUGCCAGCCGCCGCGGUAAUACCAGCGUCACAAGUGGGAACCAUUAUUAUUGGGCCUAAAGCGUCCGUAGCUGGAUUGAUAAAUCUUUUGUGAAAUUGUUUUGCUUAACUUAACAAAUUGCAGAAGAGACUGUUAAUCUUGAGACCGGGAGGAGUAUGGAGUAUUUUUGGGGAAGCGGUAAAAUGUGAUAAUCCCAGAAGGACUACCUGUGGCGAAGGCGCCUUACUAGAACGGAUCUGACAGUGAGGGACGAAGGCUAGGGGAGCGAAACGGAUUAGAUACCCGAGUAGUCCUAGCAGUAAACUCUGCGAGCUAGGUGUUGCAUAUUCUUCGGGAAUGUGCAGUGUCGGAGCGAAGGUGUUAAGCUCGCCGCCUGGGAAGUAUAGUCGCAAGGCCGAAACUUAAAGGAAUUGGCGGGGGAGCACUACCAGGGGUGCGGCGUGCGGUUUAAUUGAAUUCAACGCCGGUAAUCUCACCAGUAGCGACGGCAGAAUGAAAGUCAGGUUAAAGGCCUUACUAGACAAGCCGAGAGGUGGUGCAUGGCCGCCGUCAGCUCGUGCCGCGAGGUGUCCAGUUAAGUCUGGUAACGAGCAAGACCUGUAUCCAUAAUUGCUAGCGGGUCUUCGGAUGAUCGAGAACAAUAUGGAGACUGCCUUGGUAACAAGGAGGAAGGUGCAGGCAACGGUAGGUCAGUAUGCCCCGAAUCUACUGGACUACACGCGCGCAACAAUGAUAAGAACAAUGGGCUACAACUCCGAAAGGAGAAGUUAAUCCUCGAAAUCUUACCUUAGUUUAGAUUGAGGUCUGUAACUCAGCCUCAUGACAACGGAAUCCCUAGUAAUUGGACGUCAUCAGCGUCCAGUGAAUACGUCCCUGCUCCUUGCACACACCGCCCGUCAAACCACUCGAGUAGGGUAUAGAUGAGGAUUAGUUUUUUUGAUUAAUACGAAUCUAUUCUCAGCGAGAUGGGUUAAGUCGUCACAAGGUA